UCCUGUGUUGCAGUUUCGUUUUGUGACCGACACUAACGGGUAAUUGUUUGGCCGCCAGGAUUACUCGUUUUUGCGAUCACAAAUUAUGAAAUUGCAGCAA